CCUACGGGAGGCUGCAGUGAGGAAUCUUGGUCAAUGGACGAGAGUCUGAACCAGCCAAGUAGCGUGAAGGAUGACUGCCCUAUGGGUUGUACACUUCUUUUAUAUGGGAAUAAAACGUUCCACGUGUGGGAUUUUGUAUGUACCAUAUGAAUAAGGAUCGGCUAAAUCCGUGCCCGCAGCCGCGGUAAUACGGAGGAUCCGAGCGUUAUCCGGAUUUAUUGGGUUUAAAGGGAGCGUAGGUGGAUUGUUCAGUUAGUUGUGAAAGUUUGCGGCUCAACCGUAAAAUGGCAGUUGAAACUGGCAGUCGUGAGUACAGUAGAGGUGGGCGGAGUUCGUGGUGUAGCGGUGAAAUGCUUAGAUAUCACGAAGAACUCCGAUUGCGAAGGCAGUUCACUGGACUGCAACUGACACUGAGGCUCGAAAGUGUGGGUAUCAAACAGGAUUAGAUACCCUGGUAGUC
rnacentral:rRNA from 1 species